rnacentral:rRNA from 1 species
UACGGGGGGAGCAAGCGUUGUUCGGAUUUACUGGGCGUAAAGGGCGCGUAGGCGGCCACCGCAAGUCGGUUGUGAAAUCUCCGGGCUUAACCCGGAAAGGUCAAUCGAUACUGCGGGGCUAGAGUGCAGAAGGGGCAACUGGAAUUCUCGGUGUAGCGGUGAAAUGCGUAGAUAUCGAGAGGAACACCUGCGGCGAAGGCGGGUUGCUGGGCUGUUGCUGACGCUGAGGCGCGACAGCGUGGGGAGCAAACAGG